rnacentral:rRNA from 2 species
CAAGUCGAGCGGACUUGCUGGAGCUUGCUCCACCAGGUUAGCCGGCGGACGGGUGAGUAACACGUGGGCAACCUGCCUGUAAGACUGGGAUAACUCCGGGAAACCGGAGCUAAUACCGGAUAGUAUCUUGAACCGCAUGGUUCAAGUUGGAAAGACGGUUUCGGCUGUCACUUACAGAUGGGCCCGCGGCGCAUUAGCUAGUUGGUGAGGUAAUGGCUCACCAAGGCAACGAUGCGUAGCCGACCUGAGAGGGUGAUCGGCCACACUGGGACUGAGACACGGCCCAGACUCCUACGGGAGGCAGCAGUAGGGAAUCUUCCGCAAUGGACGAAAGUCUGACGGAGCAACGCCGCGUGAGUGAUGAAGGUUUUCGGAUCGUAAAACUCUGUUGUUAGGGAAGAACAAGUGCGAGAG